rnacentral:snoRNA from 1 species
AUUUGAUGAUGUGGGCACUGAAUUUGUAACUCAUCAAAUCUUUCCCAAACUUCAAAGAAAUCCUCCGUAUGCUUUUAUUUAAAAGUUUGGAUCUUGUUUCUUAACU